AGCGUCAAAUAGUUCGUGACACCCAAAGUAGAUAAUAAGUUCGCAACACGUCUUUGUUACAAUGAGGGCUAUCGUUUUUAUACUUAACAGUUGGCACCCCUGGCGAUUUACAGGACCUUACUCUACAGUGGCGCCAUCUUGAUGAGUGCAAAUACGAUAGUCCUCCUACCACUUUAGCGCUCACCAGUUGGUGCCACUGUCUUCGCGACUAGCAAGUGACAGGACCUUAUUCUACAGUGGCGCCAUCUUGAUGAGUGCAAAUGCGAUAGUCCUCCUACCACUUUAGCGCUCACCAGUUGGUGCCACUGUCUUCGCUACUAGCAAGUGACAGGACCUUAGGUACUCUACAGUGGCGCUAACUGGUGAGCGCUAAAACGAUAGCCCUCAUUGGAAUAAGGUUGUGUUGUCAACUUUUUGACCACUUUGGGUGUCACGAAUUAUUUGACGCUGACUGUACAAUCGGCAAGCUAGCUUUAAAAACUGCCACAGCCUUUUGUGUAUAUGUGUUAUUUUUAAAUUAAAAAUAUACUCUUUCACGUCUAAUUAUAUUAUUGGCAUAUUUUUGUAUGAAUUUCAUUAGAAAUGUAACGGCUAUCGUAAUAGUGAAUCUUAUUAUGUUCUAUUAUUAUCAAAUAUAGCACAUGAAAAAGCCUA